rnacentral:rRNA from 1 species
UACGGAGGGGGCGAGCGUUAUUCGGAAUUAUUGGGCGUAAAGGGCGCGUAGGCGGCUGUACAAGUCAAAGGUGAAAUCCCUCGGCUCAACUGAGGAACUGCCUUUGAAACUGUACGGCUUGAGGCCGGGAGGGGGUAGCGGAAUUCCCAGUGUAGCGGUGAAAUGCGUAGAUAUCUGGAGGAACACCGGUGGCGAAGGCGGCAUCCUGGACCGAUACUGACGCUGAGGAGCGAAAGCCAGGGGAGCAAACGGG